rnacentral:rRNA from 1 species
GUGGGGAAUAUUGGACAAUGGGGGGAACCCUGAUCCAGCCAUGCCGCGUGUGUGAAGAAGGCCUUUUGGUUGUAAAGCACUUUAAGUGGGGAGGAGGCUUACCUGGUUAAUACCUGGGCUAAGUGGACGUUACCCACAGAAUAAGCACCGGCUAACUCUGUGCCAGCAGCCGCGGUAAUACAGAGGGUGCGAGCGUUAAUCGGAUUUACUGGGCGUAAAGCGCGCGGAGGGGGUUAAUUAAGUCAAAUGUGAAAUCCCCGAGCUUAACUUGGGAAGUGCAUUCGAUACUGGUUAGCUAGAGUAUGGGAGAGGAUGGUAGAAUUCCAGGUGUAGCGGUGAAAUGCGUAGAGAUCUGGAGGAAUACCGAUGGCGAAGGCAGCCAUCUGGCCUAAUACUGACACUGAGGUGCGAAAGCAUGGGGAGCAAACAGGAUUAGAUACCCGGGUAGUCC